rnacentral:rRNA from 1 species
CCUACGGGUGGCAGCAGUGAGGAAUAUUGGUCAAUGGGCGCGAGCCUGAACCAGCCAAGUAGCGUGAAGGAUGACGGCCCUACGGGUUGUAAACUUCUUUUAUAAAGGAAUAAAGUGAGGCACGUGUGCCUGGAUGGAUGGACUUUAUGAAUAAGGAUCGGCUAACUCCGUGCCAGCAGCCGCGGUAAUACGGAGGAUCCGAGCGUUAUCCGGAUUUAUUGGGGUUAAAGGGAGCGUAGUGGGGUUGUUAAGGCCGUUGGGAAAGUUUGCGGCGCAACCGUAAACUUGCAAUUGAUACUGGCAGUCUUGAGUACAGUUGCGGUCGGCGGCAUUCGUGGUGUAGCGG